UUAAUAGUCUAAUCCAUGUUUUGAAAAAAAUCAAAUCAAAUCAAAGUGGGUACACAUUUGGAAAUUUGCAUUUUUUGUAAUGGUCUGAAAUGUACCGCUACAUCCGAUUUUGUAUUUUAUGAGAAGCACAUAAGAACAAAUAUUUUUAAAAAGAAAAAAAAAAAAAGAAGGAAGAAAUUUCAUGAAUUAAUAUGUUGUCCACUCACAUCAUAGAGUCAUUCUAUUUGUAUUUGGUGACAACCAUGCAUCCAUAAUGUGAAACUUUUGAUUAUAA
rnacentral:lncRNA from 1 species